rnacentral:lncRNA from 1 species
ACCAUUCAUCAGAUAGUACAAUAGAGUCAUCAUAUGAUGAUAAUAAUUUCAUCAUUCAGAGAAAUACCAGAUGGAUAGCGUCUGCAAUAUCAAUCAGAAAUAAUGGACCCAUUAUCAUUCACCUUAAUGGGAGGCUAUGAUCUAGUUAUCACCAUAAUUAGCUCAUUUUAUAGACCUAAUAAUUUAAAAAAUUUGAUUAAUAUAAUUUAUCAAAACUAAAUACAUGAAUCAACUAAUCUCAAUUCUCCCACUAACUUCAUCAAGUCAGAUCAAGGUGGACUAGAAAUAAGUCGGUCCAACUGAAAAGUCAUCAAUCCUCCC